rnacentral:lncRNA from 1 species
CCCCAGCCCCCCCACAACGCCUCCCCCAAAUACCUCGCCGAGGUAUUAAAAAUAUUUCAUAACGAAUGGAAAGGUGGAAAAUCAUUCCCAGCCGUGCGGAGGGCGGCUCGCCCCCCCCCCUCCUCCUCUGCCUGCCUUCAACCUCGGGGGGAGGAUGGGCGGGGGUGGCAGCACCCCUGGGCCUCCCUUCUUCCCUCGCAGGUUGCGCCCGUGCGCAUCUCCGCGCGCAUCAGCCCCCCCUCCCCCCGCGCCUCCCUACCGCGCAACCCGCGCACCCCGCGCAGUGACCCCACGGCGAGUUCGAGUCCCGCGGGGAACGGAUCCCUCCGAGCUGCGGGGGUUGCUCUGGGGACGGCCUCCAGGGAUUUGUGUCUGAUUCGGUUUUAUCCCUUUCUGACACUUCUUUUUUUCUCGCUGAAGGGCAGCGGCGGUGCUCUGGGGUACGGGGCGAGGGGAUGCGAGGGGACCUCGGCUGCGCUCUGCCCGAGGAAGGGACCUUCUCUCCUCUUUAUUUUCUCGGCUCACUUUAACUGAUCCAUCCUGACACUCUAUUUUGCUUUCAAAUCAAGUAAAGAUGUGGGAGAGAACUUUUGAACUGUUUUAUGGAAAGUGGAGUGAAGCAAUGCUGCAGUGAGGGCUUUUUUCCUCCCUCGCCGGACUGAUGCGUCCGGCCCUGCACCUCUGAUGCCCAAAGCCUUUUGCAGCUCAGGGUGUGUACAGGGAGGGGGAAACGAAAUGUUUUGGUGGCAUUCGGCCCGUGACAGCCGGCGCAUCCCGGUGCCUCCCGGAGCCCCUCUGCACUUGGACCCCCACCGGCCCGGAGCUGCCCAAGGCGCAGGCGGCCAACGGCAGCGCUUCCAAAAAGUCGGGAUGAAAAAGUUGAAGGCUUAAUGUUUUCUGACAGAUACAAAUGAUACCCCAAGGCUUUCUUAAAACGCGGCGAAUGACGGGAGGAGAAAGGGUUUUCCUAUUCGGGUUUCUGCAGCUGGAAGCAAACGGGGUGGGGGGUUCUCCUCGGCCCUCCUGUCCCGAAAAUUAAACCAUCUCCUGGAAUAACUCCGUUUUUCCCAAGUGCCAUUCGGCACAGCCCCACUCUGGCUCUGCUCCGUGGCCUUCUCCGCAUCCCUCAGACCACGAGCACCGAGCCAUGCUCCGAGCAAAUCCGAAACCGCUGUCAGCAGCCGCUCGGGUUUAGUCCUGGUUGUCCGCAGCCUGAACCGAGUGGGAUCAGCAAUGCCACCGCCAGAGGAUGGACAGCUCGGGGUGCGCGGGCUGCUUCUCUCGGUGGGGAGGGGGAAGGAAGGGGGAAAGUGCCACAUAGUCCCACAAUUCCCUCUCCGAGCAGUGGGAACAUGCUUUUCUUAUUAAUUGAUGGAGGAAGGGGCACCGGCGCUUGCAAGGCAGCCUGCUCAUGUUACUCUGUGCAUCUCCAGGUCCGAAAUGUGUUUGGUUUGUGGACUAAAAAAGAUGCCUCUCGUGCAGGGCAGUCCAAGGCCCGCGCGAUCCGUUGGCAUUUUAUUGUGAUCGUUCUUCUGCAGAAAAAGGGGCUGCGUUUGGUACCACCGAUGCUGCGUUUCCUUGUGGGUUUCCCUCACCUUGUUUCGGGCGAGCAACCUCUUAAUUGCUGCAGCGUUUGGAUGGGGGAAACGCAUUUCCCCUAAACAGAACAUUUCCUGAAGGGCUGAAAUAUUCUAAUAACGCGCUUUAAUGUCCUCAGAACAGCCGUGAAUCUCUGCAGGGCCACGCGUUUCCUGCCUUAAAAAGCAAAAUCGGCGAAACAAUUCACCUUUGUGUGCACUCAGCACCCUCUCUUCUAUUUUCUUUUCUUUCCCUCCCUUCUUCCCCUCCUCCCCCCUUUUUCUUAUUUUUCCUCCCAUAGAUGCUCUGCGCUGCCCCGCGAUGAGGAGCGGGGACGACUUUCUUUCCAGUUUCAUUGUGGGAACGGCCGUAUCUUAACGGGCACAUCUCAGCGAGAGAUAGGAGAACACCACCGCCUUCCAGAGGGCUGCGCUAAUCAGCGCACGGGGCAAGAUAUAAAAGUUCAGGGCAAAUAAAACGAAUUAGUUUUAUUAGCACGUUUAGGAGGCGGUCUAACGAAGGAAUUCGGCUUUACUAGAGAAUGUUUUCUCCACCCCUUCUGUUAUUUAAAAGCAGCAUCUAUGCGGGCUGAUCGGGACGGGGGGGUGGGGGAGAAAUAACGCACCGCUCAACCCGCAGUGAUUUUCUCCGAGGAACGCGCCAUUCUCUCCACCCGGUAAGGAGCACAGAGCCCGGGAAAUACACGAUUUCACAAUGCAAUCUGCUCGAACAAUAAAACCAGUAGUAAAGGAGAGGCUCGGGGCCGAUCAGCGGCGGCUGUCGGGGGGAAAUCUCUGCCCCGCUCAGGGAUUCGUUCGGCUGAACCGCGUCCGGGGAACGGUGCCACCGCUCCGGCUCGGGAUGUCCAGGACUCGGCCCGUAUUUCAGGCACCAGAAGGAUUUUGGGGACGUUCUCCAAGCGAAGCAGCUCUCAGCAAUUAUUUGGACGUCGGGUUUUAGCUCAGAGGCGCAGGGAACGCAUCCCUGGGUCUGGGAGGCAGAAAUUACGUAUUUUAAGACUGUUAGGAAAUAAUCAAACGGCGUCUCGGUCCUCGCUAUCCGCACUGGGGUACCUCGCUAGGCACAUUUUUUUUUUUUUUGUUCAAUUCGUGUCUCGGCGUUUGUGUUCGCCUACAGCGAGGUCGGCAAAACUUAAGGAAUAAGGACGAAAUGACAGAAAACGCUCCUAGGGACGAUUUUUUACGCGACACCUGAAAAUUCUCCUAAGGGUACCGUCGGGGAGGAACUCCGCGCGUCCAUUCAACGGAGUUAACACGAGGGAAUAGAAGCCUUUUUCCACCGCUCCGAGAAUUUCGCCUCCGUUGGACAGAGCGGAGUUGCGGGACAUCGCUGGAGCGUGGGGCUUCCUAAAGGUGUGCCCAUUUUUUUUUUUUCAAUCAGAAAGUAAAUAACAACAAUAAUAAUAAUAAUAAUAAAACACACACACGCAAAGGAGAAAAAAAAAAAAGUAGGGGAACGGAAGAAUUUUCUUGUUCCGAAAAGGGAAUUAAUUGAACGGCAGCUCAGGCUCUCUCCGCCCGCAUCUCUUCCGCGGCCGCGCAGCCCCGGCUGAGACCCCCGCAGCCCCCCGCGCUCCCCAUCCCUCCACCUGUCCCGGCUCGGCCCCCCCGCGCUGCCAUCUCCGGACACCCCCGGGGCCCCGAUCCGACCGCCCCAUCCUAUAGUAGGGGCCGUGCUUUGCUCCGCGUUGCUCCGCGCUGCUCGGGAGAAGAACUCGGGGUUGAAAACGGUGCGCUUACGAUAAAAUAAUAGCACAACAACAACGACGGCGACAAAAAUCUGAAAUAAAGUGAGGGAAAGUUUUGAAGUUUCAGAUGCUUUGCUUCCAAUGCGUGCCCCCCUCUUGGGCUUUGGAGAGCCUAACGGGUCAUUCUGAAAAGAGCAGCGUGCAAGGUCCAGGCAAGCACUGCAGUGGGGACAUGGCUUGUGCUUUGCUAAGGACAGAAGGAUACACAUGCACGUACACCCGGCCCAUAGCCACAGCCGAAAACCAAGGACAACGAAUAUGGAAUGGAUCAGAAAGAUAAAUAGCAUAAAAUCAGGAACAGUCCGGUCCCACACUUGCCAUUUGUUAUAGAGAGAAGAAGUAAAUGGGAUUCACAUGUCGAGCAUUAGCUGGUUGUUAGUCUGUAAGAUAAUAUUAACUUUAGUGCUUGCUGGUUUACUCCAGUUUUCCGAAGGCAGUUCCAGGAGGCGCCCAGCCUGUAAUUUAGGAUGGCACAUACUGUGUGAAAGAGGCUUUGGCACUGGGGCCUACCAGCACAUCAAGGUGAUAUUAACAUAAUAAAACGUUUGGAGAGCGAGUGGGAGCUCAUAAAUUAAUGCAUUCUACUGUUUUAAUGUGAGGAGCUAACAAUACGUUUCCUGUUGGGCUGAUCGUCCCGCUGCAGCCUAACAGCUGUUUUAAAGGUGCUGUGAAAUUAAAGAGAGGGAAGACGAUUGUCUUUAAAUCAAUGUUUAAUGAUGUGUUAUUAGGAGAAUAAGUCUUCCUCCAGCAGAUGUUUACAUGCAGAGGAUGGAGGGAGCUUCCCCGGCUGUCUGAGUGCCUGAGCAGUGUGGAUGAGAUGCCCCCAUGUCCCUCUUCGGAUGGUCCCAGUGUUCCCAGUGCAGGGUCAGGAAGGCUUGGCGGAGGGCUGGCACUGGGAAAGGCUUUGCCCACGUCUUCCAGUGGGAGCUGAGGAAACUCCUCCAGGAUACGGAAUGGCCACGAGGUUUUGAGUGGUGGCCAUGGACGGGUGAACAUGGGAAAAGGUAAAGACUUCCUAUUCACGUUCAGCACAGGUCAGGGCUGCUGGGAUCCUUUCCCUGUAACAAACAGAUGUGCAUAUGCACGUGUUGUAAAGAGAUCCCAUGCCUCCUUGCCUAGGAGAUGAUCCUUGCUGGGUAUGUGUGGGUUGGGAGCAUGACUGAGCCCCUGUGGAGGUAGAAUGAGGCUCAGAUAGGUCAGCAGGGCUGAGAUGCCUCUGGCCAUGCACUAACAGCAGGCUUCAGGUACUAGAAAAAUACAUGUACCUUUGAGGCAAGACUUGGGAGUGAGCUCUGGAAUGUGGUACCUGAAAUAAGGUACCUGCAAGCAUCAAUCUGUAGGCGCCCAAGACUUGUAAUUUCUUUUCUGCUUGGCCUGAAGAUGUAUGAAUGAAUCACCAUGUCUGUGGGUUUAAAAGAUGGCCAUCAUAAAGCUUCCCACCUAGAGAAAACAUCUGGCGGAUUCAGAUGCCAAAAGUACGUGGGGGUCGAUGCUGGGGAUGGCACAGGGUUGCUGGGGGCUGAUGGGAAGGUUCACCUGCUGCUGGGCACCUUAUUGUCAGGUGAACUCCUGCUGCAGGCCAUAAGAGCAUCAGAUCAUCUCCAGGCCAACCCAAGCUGUUUCCCAAAGGGUUGCUUCCAAAACCAAGCGUGGUGGUACAAAUUGCUCCUAUGCAAACAAAGGAACCCCUUGUAAGUGCUUACUUUCAUCAUCACAAACGUUCAUUAAAGUCUCUCUUUAUUUCCAAAUAUAGCAAAGAAAUGGCUCUCCAAGAUUGCCUGCUCCUUUAUUCAUGAUCUGUUAGUGCAUCUUUGGAAUAGUGUCCAGGAGGCUGCACAGCUUCUUUGGGAGAAACGGGGAUGUUUGGAACAUGAGUGGAUUCUAACAUUUCUAAACUUCCCAGAAGAGGCAGAUUGUAAAGGAAUAAGAUUCUUUCUGUGCACGCACAUUUGCUUUGGAGCCAAAUGGAAAGGAGAGCUCAGAAGAAAAAAAAAUGACAAAUUGUCUGGAAAAUGUUGUCCUUCCCAAGGCAGAAUGGGGGGGAACCAUAUGGAGGGAAGGCACUCAAUACCAAAUUUUUCCCUUUCAAUCCCAGUCCAGCAGCCCUCCCAUUCACUCUGCUAGGGGAUUGCUGUGAGUCAGACCCACAAGAUCAUCCAUUCAAAGCUGGUCAUAUUUCCAGCACUUCACUCCUCUCCUAUUCCCUGCUGAAGCAAGAUGGAAAGGGUUCCCCCCUCCCCAAAUGUAUGGUGAGAGCAGUGGGAUGGGACCCAGGGCCGUCCCCAUCCCUGCCAGUGAAGGAAAGGGCAGAGCUCCUCCGGUGCUCUGAAGCAGUGAUGAUAGACGUGGUUUCUUUCUGGACAAAAUGAGUGAUGUGUUGUGAUCUUGGUGGUGAGCUGGAGCACAGAAAGUACUUCCUAUGACAAAGAAACUCCUUCACUCCAUUCAGUCAUCAAACUUACCAUCUUUGUCAUCUUCAAGUAAUAAAUAAGCUCAAUAUUUUAUGCGUUCCCAACUAUUAAUGGUGACAUUUAUUGAAGAACAACAAAAGCUGCAGCAGUUGUGUACAUCAGCAGUUAACAGCAGUGGGCAGAGCGUGCAAGACUCUGAAGAAGACGUUGGGGAAAGAGUUUUUGUGUGUGGUUGUGUUUAUCCCCUGGUGACACGCCGCUAACAAGCUGCAAAGCAGAGAUCACCCACAACAAACAAACACAAACAAACAAAGUUUUGUGGAGGGUGGUAAGACUUAGUUUAAUUCUCUUAGGCCUUUAAAAAUAAUUAUAGCCCUGUUUGUGACAACUGGGAUGGCCACAUCGACUCCAAUAAAACUGCUUGUUAAUCUUUAGGAGUUACAUUUGGAGAUCUUUCCUUACACAGUGGGGACGCCAAUGGGGGUUGAUCACAAUCAAUGCAACGCAUCAAUGUGCAUCUCUAAUUGCAUCUCUCCUCUUUGCACGAGCAGUAGUUUUGACUCUGCAAAUUGUGGUCAGCUGUUUACUUGCCAGUUAAGUUGCAACACGUUUAAUGACUUACAAGAGAUCUGUCAGAGGACUUACUGCUGCCAAAGAACAGGAUCUGGGGGAUUUUAGCAUUAGUGAAAAGUUACUUAAGGUCUGCAUGUCAAUCCAAGUAUCCCUGCUGCAGUUAUAUUUCAUGCACUAUAGACUGUGUGAGAAGAUGAUAAAUGCCAUAUAUGCCUGAAGGAUAACAUGUACCCCAUGUUCUCAAAAUGCAUCAUUGCAUUUGGCUCCAGAUGUGCUGUGUAUUGCUUGGCUGUGCUUUGCCAGCACAGCAAUGUUGUGGCUCACACACUUUCAGGGUGCAGUGCUGAGUCUUCACGUGCCACCUGUGAGCCCUUGGCAACUGCCUUGGUGGGAAAAGGGAUCCUGCGUAGAUAAGCAUACUCAAUUCCACCUCUAGCUGAGAACCAUUUAGAUCUAUAGAAUCAUUAAGGUCAGAAAAGACCACUAUGAUCAUCUGUCCAACCAUCAACCCAUCACCACCACAUUUUGGCUUUAACAGGGAGUGACUAAACACACAUUUAAGGGUAACAAUGUUCUCACUUAUGGAGUGGCAAGUGAGAUCAUAGAAGUGCCAUCUUUGGAGACCUAUCACUGAGUAUUUCCUUUGCUCCUCCCACUGGGGAGGCUUUGAGCUGGGACAGGGGGCAGGAGAGCAGACAGGAGCAGAGCUGCGUCAGCUCCUGCCAGUGAGACCAUCUCCAUGCGCCAUCACUGCUGUAUCUGUUACCAUUAAUGACUUCUACAGUUGCUCUAAGACCAUUUAAGUACUUUGUGACGAUCUGAAACUCACCUCCACCCUGCACACGGGUCCCAAGUGUUAAUUUUUGGAGGUGAGCACGCUGGCCUGGGAGGGGCAAUGAGACAGGGAUUUAUUUGGCAGCGGUUACACCGCCUCCUGGCAGCAUCCGUGAGGCCUCAUACAAAUGAGAACUGAUGGCUUAAUGUUUUGUUGCAUUUUCCCACCAGAGUCAUUACCUCUUCAUUGUGGGGAUGGAUUAAACCGAAGAGGGGAUGCUCAGGGAGAGGCUGCCCUGUGUUGGCCUUGAGCUGCCAUGCCUCUGCCCCCUGCUCUGCCUCCUGCAUCCUCCCCUUGCUGCCCCUGCACAGAAACUCCAGCGUGCACAGAGCACCUCUUUGUCAGGGAGCUGUAGAGAGAAAUAAGGUCUGAAGGUAUUAAAGGGCUGAGCCCUGUCCUGCUGAAACAUGGUGGAACUGAACCAAAAAUACUUGCAGCAAUGAGAAAGCAUCCAUGGAUCUCAAGUGAAUGAACUUGGGUGCAGACAUGUUUGGAAAACCAAUGAAUUGUCCUUGUGCAUAUCUUCAAAAUACCACUAGCACUUUUGCUUUCCCAAGGGGAUCAUCUACAGCAGAAGACUAACCUGGGUCCCUCCCAGCCAUGGGGCUGAUCACAAGAUAAUCACCAGAACUGGGUACCAGGUCAGAAUUACACACCCAUGUGGAAUGCGUUUGCAGAAGAGAAGUCCUCAUUUGCCUGUGAGCAAGGGAACAAAGGCAUUCAUCCAGCUCAGUGAAACGCCGUGAGAUCCAUGGGGGAAAAGCACUAAGUAUUGCAAUUAUUAUUUACUAUAUAUUAAUAUUAGCUAUUCAGAGGAUUUGUGUGUGGAGGAAACUUGGAGGAUCUGGUCUGGUUCUGUGUGUGUCGGGGCUCUUGAGGGAUUUUUUUAGUGUCUACCAUAAUUAAAGAUGAGGACUGAGUGAAACCUUGUGGUUUUACUCCACAAGACAUUAAGUUCAGUGAACUAUUCCCAUGGUUUCCCAAGAAAAGAUGAAAAAAAAUCGUUCAGAAUGUAUUUCAACAGUGAUUCAGCAGUGUGGCAAGAGUGGAGGCUCUGUAGGGAUCACACGUGCCCAAGAGGGAAAGCCAUCAUAGAACAAAGUGAGAGUGUCAGAUAUCUUAAUUCUUCUCUCUCUCCUCAUCCCUGAAGGCAUAAUCCACCUGCUUGCCCUGCACACAGCGCUGGCUUUGCCUCUAUGUUGCUUGCAGUCAUAGGGCCUUUGUGUGAAGUCCACCUGGCUGGGGCUUCCCUUGUUCACCAAAGGAGAGCAGAGCAAUCCUCACCGACCUGAGGGAGCCUGAUUGUCAUGUUUUGAAAGAUGACACGUCCUGCUGGGAGAACAGCAAAAAUUGCCAGAAAACAUUUAAG